CCUACGGGUGGCAGCAGUGAGGAAUAUUGGUCAAUGGACGAAAGUCUGAACCAGCCAAGUAGCGUGAAGGAUGACUGCCCUAUGGGUUGUAAACUUCUUUUAUAUGGGAAUAAAACGUUCCACGUGUGGGAUUUUGUAUGUACCAUAUGAAUAAGGAUCGGCUAACUCCGUGCCAGCAGCCGCGGUAAUACGGAGGAUCCGAGCGUUAUCCGGAUUUAUUGGGUUUAAAGGGAGCGUAGGUGGAUGGUUAAGUCAGUUGUGAAAGUUUGCGGCUCAACCGUAAAAAUGCAGUUGAAACUGGCAGUCUUGAGUACAGUAGCGGUGGGCGGAAUUCGUGGUGUAGCGGUGAAAUGCUUAGAUAUCACGAAGAACUCCGAUUGCGAAGGCAGUUCACUGGACUGCAACUGACACUGAGGCUCGAAAGUGUGGGUAUCAAACAGGAUUAGAUACCCCUGUAGUC
rnacentral:rRNA from 1 species